UCCUUUAACGAGGAUCAACUGGAGGGCAAGUCUGGUGCCAGCAGCCGCGGUAAUUCCAGCUCCAGAAGCGUAUAUUAAAGUUGUUGCAGUUAAAAAGCUCGUAGUUGGAUCUGGGUCGCAUGGCUUCGUGCCGUCGCUUGCAUUCUCGUUCUGAGCAUUGCUUGUCGGGUUUGUUAGUCGGCUUCGUAGCUGUGCAGCCUUUCUGCCGUGUCUGUUUCGACAGGUGCUGAUGGUCAAUCCGUUGGCAUGCUUCCAGAUGCCUUUAACCGGGUGUCGGGGGCGGACGGCACGUUUACUUUGAACAAAUUUGAGUGCUCAAAGCAGGCCUAUGCCUGAAAAAUCUUGCAUGGAAUAAUGGAAUAGGACUUCGGUUCUAUUUUGUUGGUUUUCGGAUCCGAAGUAAUGGUUAAGAGGGACAGACGGGGGCAUUUGUAUGGCGGUGUUAGAGGGAA
rnacentral:rRNA from 1 species